GCGGCUUUAGUUAGCCUCUUGAUUUCCAUUUAUGUUAUUAUUAUUAUCAUCAUUUGGGUUGGAAUACAAUGCAUAUCAGACUUAAGCUAAUGUUUAUGUACCCAUGGAUGAUGCAGAGGUAUACGGAUGAUGAAGAUUGAGUGGUGGAAGAUACAAAAGGUACGGAGAAAUUGUACACUUGUGGCAUACACAUAGGAAAGUUAAAAAUGAAUCCCAGUUUACAUGUAUCACGGAUCAAAUAUUAUAUUUGAUAGAUUAUCUACCAGUCAUAUUGGCUCCAACAAACGAAACCCAAGGGGCCAGUUUUGAAUCUAUGCAUUCUUCAACAGUGGUUGAAGGCCCAAGGCCUAUAUAUUGUGCAACUAAAAUUUCAUUCCAUUUGUAAUAGCCUCAAGUGGAUUCCAUAUGACUGAUUUAUACCGCUCUCGUGGAUUCCAUGUCAUUCUUGCUUGGCAUGUUUAGAGAGAGAAGUAAUUGCAUUCUUUCCAAGAAAUCUCUCCCAAAGGAAAGUAUUCUAAGAAGGAUUCUUCAUUAUGUUAAGAGUAUGGCUAUUUUCAUUAUCAGCCCAAUCAUUGUAAAUUAGUCUCUGUACACUCUAUGUGUCACUUGGUACCUCCUCACCUCUUAUAUUCAUGUUCAAGUGUCUUUUGCUCUGCAGAGACAAUGUAGUGAAGACCCUUCAAUCCCUUGAUGGGGAUUGUAUAUAUAAUGCUACCCUUUGAGAUUUUAGGAUUGGUUGUGUUCGCAUUUUCUCCAUUGGAGAAGCCCUUUAGGAUGUUUGUGUCCAUAAAGGGUUGUGCAAGCACUGUAGAGCAGAGUAUUAGAAUUCUCCUUUUUGGUUUUUCUAACUUCUGCUUUGUUGUCUCUUUAGGUAUUUGUAUUAUCGAAGUUUUAUAAUAUGAAGACGCUUGCUACUAUUCAAUGCUCAAACUGCUCCUCUUGGAAAAUGCAGCUCUUCACUCGCCAUUUAAAUUUAAUAUCAAUUGUCUAGGUAUCAUAUAAAGAAUUAUUGACUCAAGAACGAAGAAAAUAAUUGAAAAUCUUAGUUAUGUUCCUUUAUCCACUCCCCUUAUCUGUCUUUUCCAAUCACUUGAGAUGCUAAGCAUUCUCCAUGGACAAGAGUCCUUCCAGUUUGAGGAUUGCUUUUGUAGGCAUCUAAUGUUAUGCUUUUUCUUGGCUCAGGUGGGGGCUUUCUCUCACUAGGCCAGCAUAUGGGCUUUUUUCUCUUUUCCUGGUCCGGGAUGUGGGCAUUUUAGUGUGUAUGUUUUUCUUUUCUCCUAGCGUGAGAUGUGGGUUACUGUUAUCUUUUGUCUUUCAUUCUUGUUUCUUGUAAUCUUUUUUACUUUGACCAGUCUAGAGGAUAAUAUAAUUUCUUUCU